rnacentral:rRNA from 1 species
UGGCUGGGGGUGAAAGGCCAAUCAAACCGGGAGAUAGCUGGUUCUCCCCGAAAGCUAUUUAGGUAGCGCCUCGUGAACUCAUCUUCGGGGGUAGAGCACUGUUUCGGCUAGGGGGUCAUCCCGACUUACCAACCCGAUGCAAACUACGAAUACCGAAGAAUGUUAUCACGGGAGACACACGGCGGGUGCUAACGUCCGUCGUGAAGAGGGAAACAACCCAGACCGCCAGCUAAGGUCCCAAAGUCAUGGUUAAGUGGGAAACGAUGUGGGAAGGCACAGACAGCCAGGAUGUUGGCUUAGAAGCAGCCAUCAUUUAAAGAAAGCGUAAUAGCUCACUGGUCGAGUCGGCCUGCGCGGAAGAUGUAACGGGGCUAAACCAUGCACCGAAGCUGCGGCAGCGACACUAUGUGUUGUUGGGUAGGGGAGCGUUCUGUAAGCCUGCGAAGGUGUGCUGUGAGGCAUGCUGGAGGUAUCAGAAGUGCGAAUGCUGACAUAAGUAACGAUAAAGCGGGUGAAAAGCCCGCUCGCCGGAAGACCAAGGGUUCCUGUCCAACGUUAAUCGGGGCAGGGUGAGUCGACCCCUAAGGCGAGGCCGAAAGGCGUAGUCGAUGGGAAACAGGUUAAUAUUCCUGUACUUGGUGUUACUGCGAAGGGGGGACGGAGAAGGCUAUGUUAGCCGGGCGACGGUUGUCCCGGUUUAAGCAUGUAGGCUGAUUGUCCAGGCAAAUCCGGAUAAUCAAGGCUGAGGUGUGAUGACGAGGCACUACGGUGCUGAAGUAACAAAUGCCCUGCUUCCAGGAAAAGCCUCUAAGCAUCAGGUAACAUUAAAUCGUACCCCAAACCGACACAGGUGGUCAGGUAGAGAAUACCAAGGCGCUUGAGAGAACUCGGGUGAAGGAACUA